rnacentral:rRNA from 1 species
UACGUAGGGUGCGAGCGUUAAUCGGAAUUACUGGGCGUAAAGCGUGCGCAGGCGGUUAUGUAAGACAGUUGUGAAAUCCCCGGGCUCAACCUGGGAACUGCAUCUGUGACUGCAUAGCUAGAGUACGGUAGAGGGGGAUGGAAUUCCGCGUGUAGCAGUGAAAUGCGUAGAUAUGCGGAGGAACACCGAUGGCGAAGGCAAUCCCCUGGGCCUGUACUGACGCUCAUGCACGAAAGCGUGGGGAGCAAACAGG